UACGUAGGGUGCUAGCGUUGUCCGGAAUUAUUGGGCGUAAAGGGCUCGUAGGCGGUUUGUCGCGUCGGGAGUGAAAUCAUCUGGCUUAACUGGGUGCUUGCUUUCGAUACGGGCAGACUAGAGGUCUGCAGGGGAGAACGGAAUUCCUGGUGUAGCGGUGAAAUGCGCAGAUAUCAGGAGGAACACCGGUGGCGAAGGCGGUUCUCUGGGCAUGAUCUGACGCUGAGGAGCGAAAGUGUGGGGAGCGAACAGG
rnacentral:rRNA from 1 species